AACCAUAGAAACCUGCGGAGUACCUGCGGAGGGAUCAUUACAAGUGACCCCGGUCUAACCACCGGGAUGUUCAUAACCCUUUGUUGUCCGACUCUGUUGCCUCCGGGGCGACCCUGCCUUCGGGCGGGGGCUCCGGGUGGACACUUCAAACUCUUGCGUAACUUUGCAGUCUGAGUAAACUUAAUUAAUAAAUUAAAACUUUUAGCAAUGGAUCU
rnacentral:misc_RNA from 1 species